rnacentral:rRNA from 1 species
GUGCCAGCAGCCGCGGUACUACCAGCUCUCCGAGUGGUGGGGAUGAUUAUUGGGCCUAAAGCAUCCGUAGCCGGCUGGACAAGUCCCCUGUUAAAUCCAACGAUCCAAUCGUUGGUCUGCGGGGGAUACUGUCCGGCUUGGGGGCGGGAGAGGCCGCCGGUAUUUCCGGGGUAGGGGUGAAAUCCUAUAAUCCCGGGAGGACCACCAGUGGCGAAGGCUGUCGGCUAGAACGCGCCCGACGGUGAGGGAUGAAAGCUGGGGGAGCGAACCGGAUUAGAUACCCGGGUAGUCCCAGCUGUAAACGAUGCAGGCUAGGUGUUAGGGCGGCUACGUGCCGCUCUAGUGCCGCAGGGAAGCCGUUAAGCCUGCCGCCUGGGGAGUACGGUCGCAAGGCUGAAACUUAAAGGAAUUGACGGGG